UACGGGGGGGGCAAGCGGUUGUUCGGAAUUACUGGGCGUAAAGGGCUCGUAGGCGGCCAACUAAGUCAUACGUGAAAUCCCUCGGCUUAACCGGGGAACUGCGUCUGAUACUGGAUGGCUUGAGUUCGGGAGAGGGAUGCAGAAUUCCAGGUGUAGCGGUGAAAUGCGUAGAUAUCUGGAGGAAUACCGGUGGCGAAGGCGGCAUCCUGGACCGGCAUUGACGCUGAUGAGCGAAAGCUAGGGGAGCAAACGGG
rnacentral:rRNA from 1 species